UACGGAGGGUGCAAGCGUUAAUCGGAAUUACUGGGCGUAAAGCGCACGCAGGCGGUCAAUUAAGUCAGAUGUGAAAUCCCAGGGCUAAACCUGGGAACUGCAUUUAAAACUGGUAAGCUAGAGUCUCGUAGAGGGGGAUAGAAUUUCUGGUGUAGCGGUGAAAUGCGUAGAGAUCUGAAGGAAUACCGAUGGCGAAGGCGGUCCACUGGAACAUUAUUGACGCUGAGAUGCGAAAGCGUGGGGAGCAAACAGG
rnacentral:rRNA from 1 species